rnacentral:rRNA from 1 species
UACGGGGGGGGCAAGCGUUGUUCGGAAUUACUGGGCGUAAAGGGCUCGUAGGCGGCCAACUAAGUCAGACGUGAAAUCCCUAGGCUCAACCUAGGAACUGCGUCUGAUACUGGAUGGCUUGAAUCCGGGAGAGGGAUGCAGAAUUCCAGGUGUAGCGGUGAAAUGCGUAGAUAUCGGGAGGAACACCUGUGGCGAAGGCGGCCCCCUGGUUGGAUACUGACGCUGAUACGCGAAAGCGUGGGGAGCAAACAGG